GGGCGGGUAGCGUAGUGGUUAGCGUGUCAACUAAGCGUUAUCAGCGUUGUUUUCAGCGUUUAGCGAGAGUCCCGGGUUCGAAUCCCGGCCCGCCCA